UACGUAGGUGGCAAGCGUUACUCGGAAUCACUAGGCGUAAAGCGCAGGUAGGCGGUUCGGUAAGUCUUUUGUGAAAGCUCCCGGCUCAACUGGGAGAGGUCAAAGGAAACUACCGGGCUAGAGUGUGGUAGGGGAAACUGGAAUUCCUGGUGUAGCGGUGAAAUGCGCAGAUAUCAGGAGGAACACCAAUUGCGAAGGCAGCUCGCUGGGACGUAACUGACGCUGAGACGCGAAAGCGUGGGGAGCAAACAGG
rnacentral:rRNA from 1 species